rnacentral:rRNA from 1 species
CCUACGGGAGGCAGCAGUGGGGAAUCUUGCGCAAUGGGCGAAAGCCUGACGCAGCCAUGCCGCGUGAAUGAUGAAGGUCUUAGGAUUGUAAAAUUCUUUCACCGGGGACGAUAAUGACGGUACCCGGAGAAGAAGCCCCGGCUAACUUCGUGCCAGCAGCCGCGGUAAUACGAAGGGGGCUAGCGUUGCUCGGAAUUACUGGGCGUAAAGGGAGCGUAGGCGGAUAGUUUAGUCAGAGGUGAAAGCCCAGGGCUCAACCUUGGAAUUGCCUUUGAUACUGGCUAUCUUGAGUGUGGGAGAGGUAUGUGGAACUCCGAGUGUAGAGGUGAAAUUCGUAGAUAUUCGGAAGAACACCAGUGGCGAAGGCGACAUACUGGCCCAUUACUGACGCUGAGGCUCGAAAGCGUGGGGAGCAAACAGGAUUAGAUACCCUGGUAGUCCACGCUGUAAACGAUGAGUGCUAGUUGUCGGCAUGCAUGCAUGUCGGUGACGCAGCUAACGCAUUAAGCACUCCGCCUGGGGAGUACGGUCGCAAGAUUAAAACUCAAAGGAUUGACGG